UGAUUGAGGAGAUUUUAGUUUAGGUCUCAUUUGGAUUGGUCUAUUAGUUUGCAUCACAUGUAAACCUAUCUACCCUACUCACAUUCGCAUCACAUGCAAACGAUACAUCGCAGGCAGUUAUAAUCGCAGCAAUAAUUAAAGCUAAAUUUUAAAUAGGUGAUGAUCAUGGAUUCUAAUUAGGUCAUAUUACAAGCACAUGCACGUCAAUCGAUCAGUUGGUCUUCAACUCUU
rnacentral:lncRNA from 1 species